AGUGAACGCUGGCGGCGUGCUUAAGACAUGCAAGUCGAACGGCAGUCUUCGGACUGUAGUGGCGCACGGGUGAGUAACGCGUAACUGACCUACCCCAAAGUCGCGGAUAACGAUUCGAAAGAAUCGCUAAUACGUGAUGUGCUGUCAGAUUGUGUUCUGCCAGUAAAGAUUGAUUGCUUUGGGAUGGGGUUGCGUUCCAUCAGCUAGUUGGUGGGGUAAAGGCCCACCAAGGCGACGACGGAUAGCCGGCCUGAGAGGGUGGCCGGCCACAGGGGAACUGAGACACGGGUCCCACUCCUACGGGAGGCAGCAGUUAGGAAUCUUCCACAAUGGGCGAAAGCCUGAUGGAGCGACGCCGCGUGAGGGAGGAAGGUAUUCGGAUCGUAAACCUCUGAAUCAGGGACGAAAGACACUUCGGUGGGAUGACGGUACCUGAGUAAUAGCACCGGCUGACUCCGUGCCAGCCGCCGCAGUAAGAC
rnacentral:rRNA from 1 species